rnacentral:misc_RNA from 1 species
UAGCCGCCGCCGCCACCGUAGCCGCCCUCACGGCGCCCGUAGCCGCCGCCGCCACCUCCUCCGUAGCCGCCGCCUCCACGACCGCCGCCGUAGCCGCCACCGCCGCCGCCGUAGCCCCCGCCUCCGCCGCCGGAGCGGCGGGACUGGGCCUCAUUGACGGUGAUGUUGCGGCCGUCGAGCUCCUUGCCGUUCAUGCCCUCGAUGGCGUCGCGCAUCGACUGCUCGGAGGAGAAGGUGACGAAGCCAAACCCACGUGACCUCCCCGUCUCCCUGUCGUUGAUGAUCUUGGAGUCGAGGAUCUCGCCGUAGGUGGAGAAGGCGGCCUCGAGGGAGCGGUCGUCGGUGGCCCAGGCGAGGCCGCCGACG